rnacentral:rRNA from 1 species
CCUACGGGGGGCAGCAGUGAGGAAUAUUGGUCAAUGGGCGGAAGCCUAAACCAGCCAAGUAGCGUGCAGGAUGACGGCCCUACGGGUUGUAAACUGCUUUUAUACGGGAAUAACGCGCCUUACGUGUAGGGCUUUGCAUGUACCGUAUGAAUAAGGACCGGCUAAUUCCGUGCCAGCAGCCGCGGUAAUACGGAAGGUCCGGGCGUUAUCCGGAUUUAUUGGGGUUAAAGGGUGCGUAGGGCGCAUGGUAAGCGAGCUGUGAAAUGUCCGGGCUCAACCCGGGCCUUGCAGCGCAAACUGGCGUGCUUGAGUGCGCGAGAAGCAGGCGGAAUUCGUCGUGUAGCGGUGAAAUGCUUAGAUAUGACGAAGAACCCCGAUUGCGAAGGCAGCUUGCU